rnacentral:rRNA from 1 species
GACGAACGCUGGCGGCGCGCUUAACACAUGCAAGUCGAACGGAAAGGCCUGCUUUCCCUUGUGGAUUGCGGGUACUCGAGUGGCGAACGGGUGAGUAACACGUGAGUGAUCUGCCCCCAACUUGGGUAUAAGCCUGGGAAACUGGGUCUAAUUCCCGAUAGGACUGCAGGGUGGUGCCUGUGGUGGAAAACGAUUUUCUAGUGGUUGGGGAUGAGCUCGCGGCCUAUCAGCUUGUUGGUGGGGUAAUGGCCUACCAAGGCGGCGACGGGUAGCCGGCCUGGGAGGGUGGACGGCCCCAUUGGGACUGGGAUACGGCCCCGACUCCUACGGGAGGCAGCAGUGGGGAAUAUUGCACCAUGGGCGGAAGCCUGAUGCAGCGACGCCGCGUGGGGGAUGACGGCCUUCGGGUUGUAAACUCCUUUCGACCGCGAGGAAGCCACCUGGUUGGAAGGGUGGUGACGGUAGUGGUAGAAGAAGCACCGGCUAACUACGUG